rnacentral:rRNA from 1 species
GACGUAGGGCGCGAGCGUUGUCCGGAUUUAUUGGGCGUAAAGAGCUCGUAGGCGGCUUGUCGCGUCGACUGUGAAAUCCCGCGGCUCAACUGCGGGUCUGCAGCCGAUACGGGCAGGCUAGAGUUCGGUAGGGGAGACUGGAAUUCCUGGUGUAGCGGUGAAAUGCGCAGAUAUCAGGAGGAACACCAAUGGCGAAGGCAGCUCGCUGGGACGGUACUGACGCUGAGGCGCGAAAGCUAGGGUAGCAAACGGG